GGUAAUGACUUCGAAUCGUACAGAGUGACAACUGAUGGUUCGUAUGCUUUUGAGACUCAUGAUCCUUACGACUAUGUCUACCACAAUAUACCCACCAAGCAUCAUGUUUUGAAGCGAGUAAAAGAUUGUAUCCAUUGUGGAGCAAUUAGGUUCCAGUACGAAGGUCCAGCCUUCUGUUGCAGAAAAGGUAAGGUCGAGGUAUUUAUCCCAGAGGUUCCUCAAGAGCUGCAACGAUUAUUUUCAAGUCAGGUAGAUGAGGAUGCAAAGUACUUUAGGCAGCACAUUCAAUAUUUCAACUCCCACUUCUCCUUCACAAGCCUUGGAGUUACCCUGGACAAACGGGUCAACACCGCGGCAAGAACCGGUGUAUACACCUUCCGUGCUCAUGGUCAGUUGUACCACCGUCUAGACCAUCUUGUACCAGGUGAUCACGGCCCCAGGCAUUUGCAGCUAUACAUUUAUGAUACAGAUGAAGCCUUAGAACAUAGGGUGAAGCGCUCUCCAGAUCUAGAUAUCAACCUCACACAGAAGAUUCUGCGUAUACUGGAGAACAACCCAUAUGUCGAGACUUUUAAGAGCCUUGGUUCAGUUCCAGACCUAGCGGAAUAUAAAAUUACACUAAACACAAAUAUAAAAUUGGACCAACGGAGGUACAAUGCCCCUACAGCUUCACAGGUGGCUGCAAUGUGGGUUGAAGGUACUGACCCUCAACACACUUUUGAGAGAAGUGUUAUUGUGCAUGCAAAAGGGGACCGUCCUUUGUACAUCAGAGCCUACUAUGGAUGCUAUGAUCCUUUAGUGUACCCAUUAUUUAACCCAGCUGGGAAGACAAGAUGGAACCAUUGCCUGCCAUAUGAGGGACCAACACCGGCUCAGGCAGGCAAUAACGAUGACGAUGACAACCAAGACGAUGAACGAGAAGCAGGUAAUGGUAUCGUAACAAUUGGUGACCCAUCCAUGAAUUCCUCUAAUCUUUAG
rnacentral:rRNA from 1 species